rnacentral:lncRNA from 1 species
GUCCUUCCACAUGGACAGCACUGCACACAUUCUUUGAGAUCCCAGGCCAGCCCAGCCUCUCUUCUGCAGCUGAAACGGAAGCCUGUCUGGACUGCAGGUGAACCUGAAGUCUGGACCUUUGGUAGGUAAAGGUGGCUGGAGAAAGGUUACCUGGCUUGUGCACCUGUGGGGAGAAGCCAGCCAGCGCUCCCCGACCUGUGUUCAAGGUAAGGCCCAGGGCAGCGGAGCCAAUGGGGGAGUGGUCCCUGCCAGCAGAUGCGCUGAGAAUGUGGUGCUCAGUGACCAGGAGGAUUGAGAGAGCAGACAGUGGUCGAGGUGACCGGAGACGCUGACAAGAAGGGCUGGCAAUCUUGAUUUCUGUCCCCUUUGUGCAUCAUUCAGUGGCCAAGAUAAAGAAAAGAAUAGGUCAUUCGUUGGAUGGCCACAAGCCCUGGGACACAUGAUCCCCUCAUUCGGAUGCACGGGGACCUUCUUGUGACCUUCGUCACAAUAUUGUGGUUCCAUGAAGGUUGCAGGGGCAGUAGAAGCUGUGUUGAUCUGCGGUGAGUGCUGAGAGUUGGGUGGCUCCACUGCUGAGUCAGGGUGGUGCCUUGGUGUCGGUAGGGGCAGAAUGGAGUUGACAGCAUCCCCUCCAUUCCAGCUAAGGGGGUUGACUGGGUUGGAAGAGAGUGCAUAGGUGAGGAACUUAGACCUGAGCACUAGGUAAGGGUCAGUUACUGUUGUCGAUCUAGGGUAAUCUGUGGUGGCCCCAGCUCCUCUCUUCUUGUGGCUAAUUUCUGCUCAUUUGUAAGACCUGGCUCAGCUGUCACCUUCCCCAAAUGGCUUUGUGCCCCUCAUCAGUGCUGCGUAAUAUGCUGGGAGCACAGUGUGAUAGCGUUUCUGUGUUGCCUUAUGCUAGUCCUUUGAUUAAGUCUACUGCCCCACCCAGUUGCCCUUCACCUGGGCCAGAGUCACAUGCAUCUGUGUAGUCUUCCACCUUUGACGGAGCUGGGCACAUGGCAAGUGCUCAGUCCAGCGGGUGAUGAUGGAGUUGCUGAGUCAUCCCAGGGCUGUCUCCAUCAGCCACCAUCCGUGCUCGGAGGCCGACACUUGGAGCUAGACAGACCAGUGUACCCUAGAAGACGUAAUUCCCUCUGCACAGGGCCUUAUAAGACAUCUCUUAGUUGCAGCGAGAGCCCAGUAUUUGGAGGUUAUCCAGUGUGUCCACCAAUAACCUGUAUAUACACAACAGGCAGUAGUUACAGUGCAGGAAGAAUUUGGCCCAAGAGACCAGGUAGAUGGAGACACGGUCAGGGGCCUUUCACCCUGUGGUUAGAAGAACUGCAGACUGCUCUUUGUCAUCACUGUCCCAUCGGUAACACUUCCUGAGUGCUUGCUGUGUGUGAGCCUGGAUUCCAGUCCAGCAGCUCUAGUGUAUGAGCAGACCAAUGUACA